ACCACGGGCUGCGCGCUGGGGAUCGCGGGCCCUGCAGCACCUGCCCGGGCAGCUGAGUUCGGGCGCGGUUCGGGGUCUUGGCGGGGAGGCGGAGCUGGGGCUGGCGAGUGGACACGUCCGCCUUGCUCUGCGUCGCUCUUCCCUGGGUUGGGCUUUUGCGUUACAUUGCAACGCAGCGCCCUUUGCCGUGCCUUUCCCUAGCGGCGCUGGGUGACGGCGUCCGCAAGCCCGGCGUCCGGGAGCGCAGCCGCAGCCGCAGCCCGCAGCCCGCAGGCAGGCCGACCGAGGGGAUGACUUCCUCCCAGGCAGCUCCGUGCGCUCGCGAGUGCGGGCCGGGCGCGCUCUCCCGGGGAGGCGUAGCGCGCCGCAGGAGAGCGCCGAGCCCCCAAGCACGGUCCUCGGAGGUCCGGAGUUGAGCCGCAAGCUUUCGGGGAAUGGUUUCCGUGAAAGCAAUUCGUUUGACCAAAGUCAGCACCCCCUCCUUUUUGUGGAAGUCUUUGGAGAACAUACAGAACAGAUAAAGAGCAAAAAGAGCUUUAAAGUUGAUGCUGACCUGGAAGUGACAGUGCUCCUGCCUCUGCCUCCUGGAAAGGCAGCAGCACCACACCUGCUAUCCUGCUGCCAUCAAACUGCCACCUAUGCCUGGCGUAUUGUCAGGGCUUUCCAGAUGGUUAAGACCACCACCCUCCAAGAGAUUGCAUUUCUUUCAGGACUGCUGACCAACCUUUGCACCACUUGACGAGUGCUUGGACUAUGCAGUCUCAUCUACAGUGACUGACAAACCACAUUGUGCACAGAGGACACAUAAUGGACAAUUAGCCACCCUUCUAUAAGUUAAGGUUCAUGACAUUCAGAGCACCACAGUGCUCCUCUAUCAGAUCAGCUAUGAACUGGAAUACGAAACCUCCGUCAUACUCGAAAAGUCAGUCAUCUUUGUUGCAUAAGUGGCUAAGGAACCAACUCAGUCCAGUGACUCAGAGUUCUUUCAGCUCUCCUGGAAGUUCACAGGAGCCAUGCAUGUAUUCCAG